UACGGAGGGGGCGAGCGUUAUUCGGAAUCAUUGGGCGUAAAGGGCGCGCAGGCGGCUUUGUUUGUCAGGCGUGAAAGCCCCGGGCUUAACCUGGGAACUGCGUUUGAUACGGCAGGGCUAGAGUUCGGGAGAGGAGAGUGGAAUUCCCAGUGUAGAGGUGAAAUUCGUAGAUAUUGGGAAGAACACCGGUGGCGAAGGCGGCUCUCUGGACCGAUACUGACGCUGAGGCGCGAAAGCGUGGGGAGCAAACAGG
rnacentral:rRNA from 1 species